rnacentral:misc_RNA from 1 species
CGCAGCCGCGGUAAUUCCAGCUCCAAUAGCGUAUAUUAAAGUUGUUGCAGUUAAAAGCUCGUAGUUGAAUUUCGGGGUCAGCAGGUCGGUCGUGCCACUGGUAUGUACUGGCUUUGCUGAUUCCUCCCUCUUGACGAACCGUAAUGCCAUUAAUUUGGUGUUGCGGGAAAUCAGGACUGUUACUUUGAAAAAUUAGAGUGUUUAAAGCAGGCUUACGCUUGAAUACAUUAGCAUGGAAUAAUGAAAUAGGACGUUCGAUCCUAUUUUGUUGGUUUUUAGGAUUGACGUAAUGAUUAAUAGGGAUAGUUGGGGGCAUUAGUAUUCAAUUGUCAGAGGUGAAAUUCUUGGAUUUAUUGAAGACUAACUACUGCGAAAGCAUUUGCCAAGGAUGUUUUCAUUAAUCAAGAACGAAAGUUAGGGAUCGAAGACGAUCAGAUACCGUCGUAGUCUUAACC